AUGGCCAAAUCAUGUUGAAAAACUGGUUCUCAUAUGAUCACCAAAGUUGAGCAACUUUGAGCUUGGUUAGUUCUUAGAUGGGUGACCAGUUGGGAAUACCAGGUACUGUAAG